rnacentral:rRNA from 1 species
GAUGAACGCUGGCGGCGUGCUUAACACAUGCAAGUCGAACGGGGUUAUGAAGUGUGAGGAGUCAGCUUGCUGGUGACGAACAGUUCAUAACUUAGUGGCGGACGGGUGAGUAACGCGUGGGUAACCUGCCAUAUACAGGGGGAUAACACUUAGAAAUAGGUGCUAAUACCGCAUAAGCGCACGGAGCUGCAUGGCUCAGUGUGAAAAACUCCGGUGGUAUAUGAUGGACCCGCGUCUGAUUAGCUUGUUGGCGGGGUAACGGCCCACCAAGGCGACGAUCAGUAGCCGGCCUGAGAGGGUGGACGGCCACAUUGGGACUGAGACACGGCCCAA